GACGAACGCUGGCGGCGUGCUUAACACAUGCAAGUCGAACGGACAGGCCCUGCUUUUGUUGGGUGCUCGUGUGGCGACCGCGUGAGUAACACGUGUGUAACCUGCCCUUGUCUUUGUGAUAACUUCUGGAAACUGGGGCUAUUACCCGAUAUGAUCUCCUGCUGCAUGUUGGGGGUUGGAAAGUUUCGGCGGUUGGGGAUGGACUCGCGGCUUAUCAGCUUGUUUGUGGGGUUGUUGCUUACCAAGGCUUUGACGGGUAGCCGGCCUGGGAGGGUGACCGGGGACAUGGGGACUGAGAGAGGGCGCAGACUGGAACGGGAGGCAACAGGGGGAAAUAUUGCAGAAUGGGGGGAAGCCAGAGGCAGAAACGCCGCGUGCGGGAUGACGGCCUACGGGUUGAAAACAGAUGUGGAAGGUGACGAAGAGUGAGUGACGGUAAUGGGUAAAGAAGCAACGGCUAACUACGUG
rnacentral:rRNA from 1 species